GAUUGCACAUGGGGGAACCUGAUGCAGCUAUACCGCGUGUGUGAUGAAGGUCUUAGGAUUGUAAAACACUUUCAGCAAGGGAAAAAAUUAUAUAAAUAAUACUUAUAUUAACUGAUAUUACCUGCAAAAGAAGUACCGGCUAACUCCGUGCCAGCAGCCGCGGUAAUACGGAGGGUACAAGCGUUAAUCGGAAUUAUUGGGCGUAAAGAGUACGUAGGUGGUAUAUUAAGUCAGAUGUGAAAUACUUAAGCUUAACUUAAGAACUGCAUUUGAAACUAAUAAACUAGAGUUUUAUAGAGGGGAGUAGAAUUCCAAGUGUAGCGGUGAAAUGCGUAGAUAUUUGGAGGAAUACCAGAGGCGAAGGCGACUCCCUGGGUAAUAACUGACACUGAGGUACGAAAGCUUGGGGAGCAAACAGGAUUAGAUACCCUGGUAGUCCAUGCUGUAAACGAUGUCAAUUUGAAGAUUGUAAUAUUAUUAUUUUUUAUAAUUUUCGUAGCUAACGCAUUAAAUUGACCGCCUGGGGAUUACGACCGCAAGGUUAAAACUCAAAUGAAUUGACGGGGACCCGCACAAGCGGUGGAGCAUGUGGUUUAUUCGAUACAAACGCGAAAAAACUUUAACCCUACUCCUUGGACAUUCUUAUAAGUAAUUAA
rnacentral:rRNA from 1 species